AGGAUGAACGCUGGCGGUCUGCUUAACACAUGCAAGUCGAACGGAGUACCUCGGUACUUAGUGGCGGACGGGUGAGUAACGCGUGAGAAUCUGCCCUUAGGUCGGGGACAACCAUUGGAAACGAUGGCUAAAUACCGGAUAAGCCGAGAGGUAAAAGAUUAAUUGCCUAGGGAAGAGCUCGCGUCUGAUUAGCUAGUUGGUGAGGUAAAGGCUCACCAAGGCAUCGAUCAGUAGCUGGUCUGAGAGGAUGAUCAGCCACACUGGGACUGAGACACGGCCCAGACUCCUACGGGAGGCAGCAGUGGGGAAUUUUCCGCAAUGGGCGAAAGCCUGACGGAGCAAGACCGCGUGAGGGAGGAAGGCUCGUUGGGUUGUAAACCUCUUUUCUUGGGGAAGAACAAAUGACGGUACCAAGGAAUCAGCAUCGGCUAACUCCGCGCCAGCAGCCGC
rnacentral:rRNA from 1 species